AUACGGAGGAUGCAAGCGUUAUCCGGAUUUAUUGGGUUUAAAGGGUGCGCAGGCGGGAGAUUAAGUCGGCGGUGAAAUUUUUUGGCUCAACUGUAAAAGUGCCUUUGAAACUGGGUUUCUUGAGUAUGGAAGAAGAGAGUGGAAUUUGCGGUGUAGCGGUGAAAUGCAUAGAUAUCACGAGGAACUCCGAUUGCGCAGGCAGCUUACUAAGCCAUAACUGACGCUCAUGCACGAAGGCGUGGGGAUCAAACAGGAUUAGAUACCCUGGUAGUCCACGCAGUAAACGAUGAUUACUCGCUGUUUGCGAUACAAUGUAAGCGGCUAAGCGAAAGCAUUAAGUAAUCCACCUGGGGAGUACGUUCGCAAGAAUGAAACUCAAAUGAAUUGACGGGG
rnacentral:rRNA from 1 species